rnacentral:rRNA from 1 species
UACGAAGGGGGCUAGCGUUGCUCGGAAUCACUGGGCGUAAAGCGCACGUAGGCGGCUUUUUAAGUUAGGGGUGAAAUCCUGGAGCUCAACUCCAGAACUGCCUUUGAUACUGAGAAGCUUGAGUCCGGGAGAGGUGAGUGGAACUGCGAGUGUAGAGGUGAAAUUCGUAGAUAUUCGCAAGAACACCAGUGGCGAAGGCGGCUCACUGGCCCGGUACUGACGCUGAGGCACGAAAGCGUGGGAGCAAACAGG